GUGGGUAACCUGCCCUUGAAGUAGGGGAUAACACUUGGAAACAGGUGCUAAUACCGUAUAACAACCAAAACCACCUGGUUUUGGUUUAAAAGACGGCUUCGGCUGUCACUUUAGGAUGGACCCGCGGCGUAUUAGCUUGUUGGUAAGGUAACGGCCUACCAAGGCGAUGAUACGUAGCCGACCUGAGAGGGUAAUCGGCCACAUUGGGACUGAGACACGGCCCAAACUCCUACGGGAGGCAGCAGUAGGGAAUCUUCCACAAUGGACGAAAGUCUGAUGGAGCAACGCCACGUGAGUGAUGAAGGGUUUCGGCUCGUAAAACUCUGUUGUUGGAGAAGAACAGGUGUCAGAGUAACUGUUGACAUCUUGACGGUAUCCAACCAGAAAGCCACGGCUAACUACGUGCCAGCAGCCGCGGUAAUACGUAGGUGGCAAGCGUUGUCCGGAUUUAUUGGGCGUAAAGCGAGCGCAGGCGGUUUUUUAGGUCUGAUGUGAAAGCCUUCGGCUUAACCGGAGAAGUGCAUCGGAAACCGGGAGACUUGAGUGCAGAAGAGGACAGUGGAACUCCAUGUGUAGCGGUGAAAUGCGUAGAUAUAUGGAAGAACACCAGUGGCGAAGGCGGCUGUCUGGUCUGUAACUGACGCUGAGGCUCGAAAGCAUGGGUAGCGAACAGGAUUAGAUACCCUGGUAGUCCAUGCCGUAAACGAUGAGUGCUAAGUGUUGGAGGGUUUCCGCCCUUCA
rnacentral:rRNA from 1 species